UGUACUAAGNUAGCAUAAUAAAUUGUCUAUUAAUUGUAGAAUAGAAUGAAAGAAAAAAUAAUCUGGGACUGUCUUGAUUUAUUAUAUAUUCAAAUUAGAAUCAUUGUAAAAAUACAAUGAUAAGAUUUAGGGACAAGAAGACCCUAUAAAGCUUUAUAUUUAUAAUAAUGUUUUUUAUUAAUAAAUGUUUUGUUGGGGCAAUUUUUUGCUGAAGAAUAAUGCAAAAAGAAUAAUAAUAUUAAUAUACCAAAUUAGAUCCAUUAAUAAUGAUUAAUUGAAAUAGUUACUUUAGGGAUAACAGGAUAAUUUUUGUUGUAAAGAUCAUAUUAAGAACAAAGUUUAUUACCUCGAUGUUGAAUUAAUUUUAUAAUAUAGUGAAGGAGCUAUAUAUAUAUGACUGCUCGUCAAUUAAAUAAUUACA
rnacentral:rRNA from 1 species